rnacentral:rRNA from 1 species
GAUCAUGGCUCAGGACGAACGCUGGCGGCGCGCCUAACACAUGCAAGUCGAACGAGAGAGAGGGAGCUUGCUUCCUCAAUCGAGUGGCGAACGGGUAAGUAACGCGUGAGGAACCUGCCUCAAAGAGAGGGACAACAGUUGGGAACGACUGCUAAUACCGCAUAAGCCCACAGCUCGGCAUCGAGCAGAGGGAAAAGGAGCAAUCCGCUUUGAGAUGGCCUCGCGUCCGA